rnacentral:rRNA from 1 species
UACGUAGGUGGCAAGCGUUGUCCGGAAUUAUUGGGCGUAAAGCGCGCGCAGGCGGUCCCUUAAGUCUGAUGUGAAAGCCCACGGCUCAACCGUGGAGGGUCAUUGGAAACUGGGGGACUUGAGUACAGAAGAGGAAAGCGGAAUUCCACGUGUAGCGGUGAAAUGCGUAGAGAUGUGGAGGAACACCAGUGGCGAAGGCGGCUUCUGGUCUGUAACUGACGCUGAGGCGCGAAAGCGU